rnacentral:rRNA from 1 species
UUAAACCGCAUCCUUCGGAGGAAAAAGGGGGGUUUUUCCGCCCUUCCCUUAAAGGACGCUCAAUCCGGAUACUUUGUUGGGGGAAAAGCCCACAAAGGGCACUUUUUUAGCGGUUUGAGGGGUUUUCGCCCCACGGGGGAUUGAACCCGCCCCAGUUUUUUUGGGGGGGCAGCAGGGGGAAUUUUCGACAAGGGGGAACCCUUAUCCACACAUCCCCGUUGUAAAAAAGCCUUUAUGUUGAAAGCACUUUAAGGGGGAGGAGGCUACUUUAGUAAUACCGAGAGAUAGGGGCGUUACUCGCAGAAUAAGCACCGGAUAACUCUGUCCCAGCAGCCGCGGUAUACAGAGGUGCGAGCGUUAUCAGAUUUACGGGCGUAAAGCGUGUGUAGGCGCUUAUAAGUCGGAUGGAAAUCCCCGAGCUUAACUGGGAAUCGCAUUCGAUACUGGUGAGCUAGAGUAUAGAGAGGAUGGUAGAAUUCCAGGUGUAGCGGAAAAUGCGUAGAGAUCUGGAGGAAUACCGAUGGCGAAGGCAGCCAUCUGGCUUAAUACUGACGGUGAGGUACGAAAGCAUGGGGAGCAAACAGGAUUAGAUACCGUGGUAGUCCAUGCCGUAAACGAUGUCUACUAGCCGUUGGGGCCUUUGAGGCUUUAGUGGCGCAGCUAACGCGAUAAGUAGACCGCCUGGGGAGUACGGUCGCAAGACUAAAACUCAAGUGAAUUGACGGGGGCCCGCACAAGCGGUGGACCAUGUGGUUUAUUUGGAUGCAACGCGAAGACCCUUACCUGUCCUUGACUUAUUAGAAACUUUCCAGAGAUGGAUUGGUCCCUUCGGGAAUCUAGAUACCGGUGCUGCCUGGCUGUUGUCAGCUUGUGUCCUGAGAUGUUGGGUUAAGUCCCGCAACGAGCGCAACCCUUUUCGUUACUUGCCCGCCUUUAGGAUGGGAACUUUAAGGAUACUGCCAGUGACAAACCGGAGGAAGGCGGGGACGACGUCAAGUCAUCAUGCCCCUUACGGCCAGGGCUACACACGUGCUACAAUGGUCGGUACAAAGGGUUGCUACACAGCGAUGUCAUGCUAAUCUCAAAAAGCCGAUCGUAGUCCGGAUUGGAGUCUGCAACUCGACUCCAUGAAGUUGGAAUCGCUAGUAAUCGUAGAUCAGAAUGCCGCGGUGAAUACGUUCCCGGGCCUUGUACACACCGCCCGUCACACCAUGAGAGUUUGUUGCACCAGAAGUACGUAGCUCUAACUCCUAGGAGCAUCGCUACCCACCCGU